AGUCACACAAAGCCGCUGAGAAACAGUGUGUGUUGACAACAACAAAAAACGCGUUUCGUCAAGAUGUUUGGCACCGUACGCCUUCCGUAGUAACAGGGGGACAAUAAAAGUAACAGGUUUGACUGAAUCUUUCUCUGUGUCUCAGAUGAGGAGGAUGUGAAGCUCAGGAUUGGUCAUCACAUCGUCUACACAUCAAUCUACAGACAAACAUCUCAUUUGAAUAAAGAUUUAAUGAUGAAAGCCUGA